rnacentral:lncRNA from 1 species
AUAAAGCUGAGGACUGCCAAACACAUGCUUGAAUCUGGUUCAUGUCAGGCCUUAUUGUCCUGAGAUUACAUUCUGCACAAAUAAUAUUUACUAAUCAGGGACUUGAGAACUCUCUGAACUUGUCUCAGGGAUUUUUACUGUGUCAGGAUUUUUAACGAGCCGGAGGAAAAGCAGCCUCGGCUAUUCCAGACUGCAGGUGAGAGUUUGCUCCUGGCAAGAAGAAAUGUCAUAUACUGUACCAUGAACUUCAUCAUGUUUACUCUCUUAACAGUGGGUACAGUGCCAUCUAAAACUUCCCUGUGCCUGUGCAAUGAAGAGCAAGAGCUCCUGGAUGUCUCAAGCAGGUUUUGAACGACCAUCACGCUCCGAGCUCCCCUCGCCUGCUGCAAAAUCCCUCCGCAAGAACCUGCAGAUUCCCCAUUUGAUCACCGAAUGUUUAAAGAAAAGAAGUAACUGAGUUCUCUGCAGAUUGCACACACAGAGAAUAAAACAGCAGCCUUUUUUUUUUUUUUGCA